rnacentral:lncRNA from 1 species
AUACUAGCACUAGUAUAUAUAUGGUUAUUAUUUUAGUAUAGAGCUACUAUACUAUCGAAAGCUUAGAGCACCUGAUGCUUUUAACCUUUUGACCAUUGGAUCAAAAAUUAUACGAUUAGGAUGAUUGCGAUCUCCCUGGUUAAGUAGUACCCUUCAGUUGGGUGGUCCCCACAGGUUAAUAAUAUUAAUUUAAAAAUUAAAAAUAAUUAAAGAGGUUGAUUUAAGCGCCAAAAAAUUAAAACUAGAUUCUCUAUACUUCCGAUAGCAUAGUAGCUCUACUUAUUAUUUUAGGCGGCAAAAAAUAAAAGUUUUAU